GAUGAAGAACGUAGCAAAAUGCGAUAAGUAAUGUGAAUUGCAGAAUUCAGUGAAUCAUCGAAUCUUUGAACGCACAUUGCGCCCGCUGGUAUUCCGGCGGGCAUGCCUGUUCAAGCGUCAUUUCAACCCUCAAGCCCCCGGGUUUGGUGUUGGGGAUCGGCUCUGCCCUUCUGGGCGGUGCCGCCCCCGAAAUACAUUGGCGGUCUCGCUGCAGCCUCCAUUGCGUAGUAGCUAACACCUCGCAACUGGAACGCGGCGCGGCCAUGCCGUAAAACCCCAACUUCUGAAUGUUGACCUCGGAUCAGGUAGGAAUACCCGCUGAACUUAAGCAUAUCAAUAAGCGGAGGA
rnacentral:misc_RNA from 1 species